rnacentral:rRNA from 1 species
CUGAUUAGCUAGUUGGUGAGGUAAUAGCUUACCAAGGCGAUGAUUAGUAGCUGGUCCGAGAGGAUGAUCAGCCACACUGGGACUGAGACACGGCCCAGACUCCUACGGGAGGCAGCAGUGGGGAAUUUUCCGCAAUGGGCGAAAGCCUGACGGAGCAAUGCCGCGUGGAGGUGGAAGGCCUACGGGUCGUCAACUUCUUUUCUCGGAGAAGAAACAAUGACGGUAUCUGAGGAAUAAGCAUCGGCUAACUCUGUG